rnacentral:rRNA from 1 species
AUUGAACGCUGGCGGCAGGCCUAACACAUGCAAGUCGAACGGUAGCACAGAGAGCUUGCUCUCGGGUGACGAGUGGCGGACGGGUGAGUAAUGUCUGGGAAACUGCCUGAUGGAGGGGGAUAACUACUGGAAACGGUAGCUAAUACCGCAUAACGUCGCAAGACCAAAGAGGGGGACCUUCGGGCCUCUUGCCAUCAGAUGUGCCCAGAUGGGAUUAGCUAGUAGGUGGGGUAACGGCUCACCUAGGCGACGAUCCCUAGCUGGUCUGAGAGGAUGACCAGCCACACUGGAACUGAGACACGGUCCAGACUCCUACGGGAGGCAGCAGUGGGGAAUAUUGCACAAUGGGCGCAAGCCUGAUGCAGCCAUGCCGCGUGUAUGAAGAAGGCCUUCGGGUUGUAAAGUACUUUCAGCAGGGAGGAAGGUGUUGUGGUUAAUAACCGCAGCAAUUGACGUAC